AACGAACGCUGGCGGCGUGGAUAAGACAUGUAAGUCGAACGGGAGUUUAUUUAUAGCAAUAUGAGUGAACUCUAGUGGCGAAAGGGUGCGUAACACGUAGCUACCUACCUCGAAGUUGGGGAUAGCUCGGCGAAAGCCGGACUAAUACCGAAUGUGAUCGUGAGAUCAAAGCUGGGGAUCGUAAGACCUGGCGCUUUGAGAUGGGGCUGCGGCCUAUCAGGUAGUUGGCGGGGAAUGGCCCACCAAGCCUAAGACGGGUAGCUGGUCUGAGAGGACGACCAGCCACACUGGAACUGAGA
rnacentral:rRNA from 1 species